rnacentral:rRNA from 2 species
GCGUACACGGUGGAUGCCCUGGCAGUCAGAGGCGAUGAAGGGCGUACUAAUCUGCGAUAAGCGCCGGUAAGGUGAUAUGAACCGUUAUAACCGGCGAUACCCGAAUGGGGAAACCCAGUGUGAUUCGUCACACUAUCAUUAACUGAAUCCAUAGGUUAAUGAGGCGAACCGGGGGAACUGAAACAUCUAAGUACCCCGAGGAAAAGAAAUCAACCGAGAUUCCCCCAGUAGCGGCGAGCGAACGGGGAGGAGCCCAGAGCCUGAAUCAGCAUGUGUGUUAGUGGAAGCGUCUGGAAAGGCGCGCGAUACAGGGUGACAGCCCCGUACACAAAAGCGCAUGUGCUGUGAGCUCGAUGAGUAGGGCGGGACACGUGGUAUCCUGUCUGAAUAUGGGGGGACCAUCCUCCAAGGCUAAAUACUCCUGACUGACCGAUAGUGAACCAGUACCGUGAGGGAAAGGCGAAAAGAACCCCGGCGAGGGGAGUGAAAAAGAACCUGAAACCGUGU